GCUCUACCAAUCCAAAGACGCCCGACCUGCGCGCUGAGGUCACAUCCCCACGCAGCGCGACUGAAAGACUACGUGUUGCCUUCGUCAACAAUUAAUGUGUAUGGGUCCUGCAGGCAUCCUGUUCACUCAACCAUCAAAGCGCAUGGCACUUGCAGGCCCUCAGCCUACUCAACAAUUAAAGCGUAUGACUCCCGUUGUGUGAGGUCCAAUAGUCCCACAUCAGAAAGACUCGUUCCAGAGCCUGGGCAUAUGAGGCGGGUGACUCCAAAUCCUGCAGACGCGUUUUGGGAGGAAAACAAAAUCGGGGAGGGGUGAAGGACGCUUGCGUGAAGCCCCGGAACCGGACAAUAUCUGGCAGGGGAGCCCCGCGGUCCCUCCUCAUGUGGCCCCCACGUGGGCACUGGGUGCCUCACGUGCUCC
rnacentral:lncRNA from 1 species